GAUGAACGCUGGCGGCGUGCCUAAUACAUGCAAGUCGAGCGAACAGACGAGGAGCUUGCUCCUCUGACGUUAGCGGCGGACGGGUGAGUAACACGUGGAUAACCUACCUAUAAGACUGGGAUAACUUCGGGAAACCGGAGCUAAUACCGGAUAAUAUAUUGAACCGCAUGGUUCAAUAGUGAAAGACGGUUUUGCUGUCACUUAUAGAUGGAUCCGCGCCGCAUUAGCUAGUUGGUAUGGUAACGGCUUACCAAGGCGACGAUGCGUAGCCGACCUGAGAGGGUGAUCGGCCACACUGGAACUGAGACACGGUCCAGACUCCUACGGGAGGCAGCAGUAGGGAAUCUUCCGCAAUGGGCGAAAGCCUGACGGAGCAACGCCGCGUGAGUGAUGAAGGUCUUCGGAUCGUAAAACUCUGUCAUUAGGGAAGAACAAAUGUGUAAGUAACUAUGCACGUCUUGACGGUACCUAAUCAGAAAGCCACGGCUAACUACGUG
rnacentral:rRNA from 1 species